UACGGAGGGUGCAAGCGUUAUCCGGAUUCACUGGGUUUAAAGGGUGUGUAGGCGGGCUGUUAAGUCAGUGGUGAAAUCUCCGGGCUCAACCCGGAAACUGCCAUUGAUACUAUCAGUCUUGAAUUCUGUUGAGGUGGGCGGAAUAUGUCAUGUAGCGGUGAAAUGCAUAGAUAUGACAUAGAGCACCAAUUGCGAAGGCAGCUCACUAAGCAGCGAUUGACGCUGAGGCACGAAAGCGUGGGGAUCAAACAGG
rnacentral:rRNA from 1 species